rnacentral:rRNA from 1 species
UACGUAGGGUGCGAGCGUUGUCCGGAAUUAUUGGGCGUAAAGAGCUUGUAGGCGGUUUGUCGCGUCUGCUGUGAAAAUCCGGGGCUCAACCCCGGACUUGCAGUGGGUACGGGCAGACUAGAGGUAUGCAGGGGAGAACGGAAUUCCUGGUGUAGCGGUGAAAUGCGCAGAUAUCAGGAGGAACACCGAUGGCGAAGGCAGCUCGCUGGGACGGUACUGACGCUGAGGCGCGAAAGCGUGGGGAGCAAACAGG